rnacentral:rRNA from 1 species
UACAGAGGGUGCGAGCGUUAAUCGGAAUUACUGGGCGUAAAGGGCUCGUAGGCGGCCAACUAAGUCGGAUGUGAAAUCCCCAGGCUUAACCUGGGAACUGCAUCCGAUACUGGAUGGCUUGAAUUCGGGAGAGGGAUGCAGAAUUCCAGGUGUAGCGGUGAAAUGCGUAGAUAUCUGGAGGAAUACCGGUGGCGAAGGCGGCAUCCUGGACCGACAUUGACGCUGAGGAGCGAAAGCUAGGGGAGCAAACGGG